AUUAUUUAACCUCAUAAUGAGAAAGAAGUGGGGCAUUUUCUCAGGCAUGCACGGAUGGCAACUUACAGGUACUUCGUGGAGCCCUGCGUCUGCUGAUGCAGAGCUACUGAGAAUCCAAAGAAGCUCCCUUUGGUUUUCCCCUCUUUGAUCACCGGGAAACGUUCAUCUAUAUUAAAUCCACUGCAGGUUUGCGUCCCGUGGUACACAGCCAAGACAGCGCAGAGCAAUAGUCUUGGAGACAUGUUCGUUCUGUUCAUUCCUCGCAAGUGCAGUAGGCUUCCCGCAGAUCCACGAUCAGCCUGGGUCCGGCACAGUCUCCCGCAAUGAGCUCCAACAGAAACCCCCUGGUGUCAAGAGAACAGCUACAGCUCCAUCUCCUCCCCGUUUACUUCGGCAAUGAGCAAACUUUGAUUAUGUCUGCUUUAUUGGCUGUCUCCUCUGGCAUCACUGACCUCAUCUAAUUGAUGAGCUGAGCUCCCACUCCUCUGCUUCUCCUCACAGUUCAGGAGUUUCUCUCACCCAGAGUGUUACAGUAGAAAAAGAAAGAAUUCCGGCCUUUAAAUGUGUAUUCCCCAGACCAAACUGUAAGCCAACACCAGGCUCUGUGAACCAUCGGGACAAAGACCCGAAUGCAGUUGCUGCUGCCCCCAGAGACCUCUGCUGUAGAACCCUCCAGUCUUAACCCACACAACACACAUGGAAUGUAAUUUGCUAUUUAUCUCCCAGUUUCCUGUGUUUUUCCUCACCAAACCCACCACCGUCCUCCCCCGUCACCAUACCUUCCCUGGAAAUAAAACAGAAUUCAACCGUU